AGUGAACGCUGGCGGCGUGCUUAACACAUGCAAGUCGAACGAGAACGGGUUAUAGCUUGCUAUAAUUGUCAGCUAAGUGGCGCACGGGUGAGUAAUGUAUAGGUAAUAUGCCUCUUACUAAGGGAUAACAAAUGGAAACGUUUGCUAAUACCUUAUACUCCUUUUAAACAGAAGUUUAAAAGGGAAAGAUUUAUUGGUAAGAGAUUAGCCUGUAUUGUAUCAGUUAGUUGGUGGGGUAAUGGCUUACCAAGACUAUGACACAUAACUGGUUUGAGAGGUAGAGCAGUCACACUGGAACUGAGACACGGUCCAGACUCCUACGGGAGGCAGCAGUGGGGAAUAUUGCACAAUGGACGAAAGUCUGAUGCAGCAACGCCGCGUGGAGGAUGACACAUUUCGGUGCGUAAACUCCUUUUAUAUGAGAAGAUAAUGACGGUAUUAUAUGAAUAAGCACCGGCUAACUCCGUGCCAGCCGCCGCGGUAA
rnacentral:rRNA from 1 species